UACGAAGGGGGCUAGCGUUGCUCGGAAUCACUGGGCGUAAAGCGCACGUAGGCGGAUCUUUAAGUCAGGGGUGAAAUCCUGGAGCUCAACUCCAGAACUGCCUUUGAUACUGGGGACCUCGAGGGGUGCAGGGGCAUGUGGAACUUCCGGUGGAGCGGUGAAAUGCGUAGAUAUCGGAAGGAACGCCGGUGGCGAAAGCGACGUGCUGGACACCUUCUGACGCUGAGGCGCGAAAGCCAGGGGAGCAAACGGG
rnacentral:rRNA from 1 species